GGCAGCAGUGGGGAAUCUUGCGCAAUGCGCGAAAGCGUGACGCAGCAACGCCGCGUGGGGGAAGACGGCCUUCGGGUUGUAAACCCCUUUCAGGAGGGACGAAGGUUCGCCGGUGAAUAGCCGUGCGGAUUGACGGUACCUCCACAAGAAGCUCCGGCUAACUACGUGCCAGCAGCCGCGGUAAUACGUAGGGAGCAAGCGUUGUCCGGAAUCAUUGGGCGUAAAGCGCGCGUAGGUGGCCAAGUAAGUCCGCUGUGAAAGUCAAAGGCUCAACCUUUGAAAGCCGGUGGAUACUGCAUGGCUAGAGUACGGAAGAGGCGAGUGGAAUUCCUGGUGUAGCGGUGGAAUGCGCAGAUAUCAGGAGGAACACCAAUAGCGAAGGCAGCUCGCUGGGACGUUACUGACACUGAGGCGCGAAAGCGUGGGGAGCGAACAGGAUUAGAUACCCCGGUAGUCCACGCCGUAAACGAUGGGUACUAGGUGUGGGAGGUGUCGACUCCUCCCGUGCCGUCGCUAACGCACUAAGUACCCCGCCUGGGGAGUACGGCCGCAAGGGUAAAACUCAAAUGAAUUGACGGGG
rnacentral:rRNA from 1 species